AAUCAACGCUGGCGGCGUGCCUAACACAUGCAAGUCGAGCGGUAAGGCCCUUUCGGGGUACACGAGCGGCGAACGGGUGAGUAACACGUGGGUGACCUGCCUCAGCUCUGGGAUAAGCCUGGGAAACCGGGUCUAAUACUGGAUAUGACUCCAUGACGCAUGUUGUGGGGUGGAAAGCCUUGUGCGGCUGAGGAUGGGCCCGCGGCCUAUCAGCUUGUUGGUGGGGUGAUGGCCUACCAAGGCGA
rnacentral:rRNA from 1 species